GUAAAAAAAUUCAGAUCGGUUCAAUUCGGUUAUAAAAACUUUCAGUUUUUUUCGGUUCUGGUACUUUUCGGUACGGUUAUUCGAUUCGGACGGGAAUCACCGAGAUACAUGUCCAGCCCUACUUCUGCCUAGAAAAAGCACUAAUUAUUGCAUACUAGGUGUACAAGUUUCUCUCAUGCAUUUCACCAAACAACUUACGUGCAUCACUUAAAGACUCAUAAAUUUGCGUACAUGAUAACUAGCUUAGUCUUAAGAAAUGAGUUUUCUUCUUGGACCAAGUGAAAGCGAGCAUGGACCUUGCGAUAAAGAGUAACAAAGUUACAGUUGAUGCGGGAUUAGAGUAAACUGAUGAAGGUUUUACGUAAUACCUUAGAGCCAUGUUGAGCUAUCAAUUCAAGAGCAUAUACGACCUCAUUUAAACGAUCAUUUUUGCAAAGGGGUUAUACUUAGCAUCUCAAUGCCUCGUAAUUGAUUGGAAUUGGACAGCUAAAGCCAACUUGAAAUAGUAAAUUUCCACUUAUAGUAAGAUCACGGCAAAAUACGCCUUGAAACUAAUUAAUUUGUGGUUCCUAAAGGUGUUUUUGUUGCCGCUACUUUAAUUUCAAUUAAAUUGAUCCAUUGAGAACUCGAUUUCUCCACUUUAGUUGUGUUGAUUCAGGUACAGGAUUUUGAGUUGUUAGCUGAUGGACCUGAAUGGCAGCUUGUGCUGCUUGCAAAGCAGCGGCAACUUUCUUUGUUUCUUUGUUGCCUCUUCCUCCAUGAUUGUAGCCAUUAAGGUUGAAUAAUCCUUUUUUAGCAAUCAAGAGUAACGAUGCAGAUAUUUUAGCUUAACGAAAUCAAGCUCUGUUUUUUCCAAGCAAAA